AACCCUAUCCACAUUGCUUCUUGCGUAGGACAGCUGCCGCCGCCGGCCCUGGCUUUCCCUCAACUCUGUGCCGACGGACUCCUCGGUCGUACACCUACUCACAUCCCCGCCGCCACCACGCGCGCUUCUCCUCCCCAACGCGGCUGCCGGUUUCUGCUCCGUCUCCUCCUCUGCGCCGGUGGCGGGCGUUAUUUUCUUCCCCGUCGUGGCCGCCUCAGCCGCAGCCAUGGCCGCAGCUGCUUCUGCAGGAGAUCGGUGCGGGGCGACGGCGGAUGGACGAGCAGGGCCGCGCCUAGAGGUAUACGAUUCGCCGGCGCCGACAUCGCUGGUGCGGCAGAGAUCUUGCUGCCGAUCCAGGAUGUGCCACGCACUUCCACCACCUCCCAGUACGCGCUGGAUGUGAAUGUGGAGAGGGUGGAGGACAUGGUGACGCACCAGCGGCUGCUCGAGGAGGCCCGAUACCUGCAGCACCGGCUUUCCUUGGAGGUGGGCGUCGUUCAGAUUGCAGAGAUACUAUCCAAGCUACAAAUAAAGGAGGGGGCCAAGAGAGAUUGUGAUGUAGGAUGGUUGCAAAAUAAGAAGGUUUACAAUGUGUUGCAGCAACAAUAGGUGGAACUAUUUAGCUGCUGCCAUUAGUGAGAGGUCCUCUUCCAGCUCUAGACAAAUAUCUUUGGCAUGAUGCAAGGAUGGCCUCUACGCCUCACGACCUAUCGCUUUCUUGGGGAAAAUGGACUGAGCUUGAGAAAGGAAACUAAGAACUCGUCUCAAGAAAGGGUUCUCUCUCAUAUUCUUAAUUAAUCUGGUGGUGGAUAAUGGCCUACUGGUAUUUUGGUUUUAUGCCUGUGGGAUAUGGCAAGAGAUGAUGGUCUCAUGGAGCAUUGAUUUUACUUGAUGAGAAGAUUUCAGUAGAACAUUGCUCUGCCAUGCCUGCAACAUCCUAAUGGACAUGUGGCUAGAACAGGGCAGCGCAUAUCGUCUCCCGGAUUAGAACAGGCAUGUGAGAAUUCUGGUGCCUCUAUUGUUUAUUUCUCAAUGUUGUUGUCAUACUAUGACAGCCAUGCAGUUUACUGAUACCUUUGAAGAAUUAUUGAGGUCUUAUUGCUAUGUACGAGUAGUGAAAGAUAAUGAUCCAUUAUUUCUCUCAUUUUGUGCCCCCCCGCGCUCUUGGAAGGGGUUCACAAGUAUGGCGGGAUGUGCUUGGGGCAGCGGAGGGAGGCGGGCCACUAAGGGGGCUGACAGCGGCAGCCAUGCCGGAGUGGCAAUGGCAGAGUAGCCAAGAUGCAGCAGUCGAGUACCACAUUUAUACACAAGGAGAAGUCCUUAAUUUGACACACAAGAAGGUUAAGAAGACCUGCAAAUUACGAUUGCAGUACAGUUUUAUAUCCCAGUUAGUUGACCAUGCUCUUUUCUGUUUUAUUUGCUGAUGUUUAGUCAAGAUAUCUAUGAUCUCCUAGAUUGCCGAUGUGAGUUUGCUAUUCAGAAAUUUAUAUUUUUUGAUACUAACAAAGAAUCCAGUUGAUGUGUCCAUAGUUUUGUUUCUCUUAGCUAGGAUCUAGAUAAUGUAAAAAUACAAAUCAUUUACUUUUGAGCUUCCAGGUUCAUAGACUAUCUUUUCUACUGAGCAUCUUGCUACAUUUUUUGUAUUCAAGGCUUCGGUUAUUCAAGGCUUCGGUUAUACCUGGUUUCUUUCUGCACUAACAUCACAUAGAAAUUUAUUUACUAGCACAUUCAGUGUACCUAUCUGGGUUGGUUAACUGUUCCACAUGCACAGUUUUUUCUUUUUCACUUGACAGCUUUGUGAUUCGGUACCGAUGUUCUGCUUACUGUCCGUUUAUGUUUCACUUAUAGAGAAACACACUGCUAGCAUUUCCAGAUGUGUACUGAUCUGUUUUGCUUAGCUUUUGUAAACUGGGUUGCUUUGCCUCGUGAUAUUCUGUGAUGUGUUAAUCAUCAUUUACCUUUUUGUUGCCCAUUAGUGAAAAUGAUUGCUAGCAUCUUUAGAAGAUACAAUAUGUUCAGGUUAGAUUAGCUAUGUUAGGUUAAGAAAUCUCUCCAUUAUGCCGGCUUAUCUCCCUGCAACCUUAACACUUCAUAUCCUUUUUAUUUUUUUCACUUUAGCCAGUGAUUCAUGGAUCAUAAACAUUCAGAUUCAGGUACGGUUUCUUCUUUCCAGUUGUUCUGUUUCACAUUGUAUCUUUCAUGUACAAUAGUUGGGCAGAUUUUUUUUUUUGGAUCAAGGGUGGUGGUUUAGUAUGACAAAAAAAGAUGAUCUAUGGCAUUCUAGACUAGGAUACAUAGAUUUCCAGUUAGCAUUGCCACUCAACUGCGCUUAUAUUGACAAAAUUAUGUGGCCCAUUCUUUCAUGGUAAACAUAAAAAGAAAAGAGCUAUCUUCACCUGUCAAAUAUGAAAGCUUGCACUGUUACUUCAUCAGAUGUUAUUUCAUCAGAUGGUCAGUGCAGCAACUCUGAAGUAUUCAUGAUUGGUUGGGUUGUUCAGUUUCUCAAAGGAUUUUAAAAUUAUCACAAAACCUUCAGAUUUCCUAUAAAAUCUAGCUAGCUACCCAAUCAUUUUGAGGUACAACCUUAAAAGGAGACAUCAACGAUUGAUCAAGUUGUCCACUUCAUUAUUUGACAGUGAUCAUGCUCUCCCUUCUAUCACUCUUUUCUCAGUUGCAAGGUGCAAGUAAUCCAUUUUAACGCAGGCAUUACAUCCUUGGAUGCCGAGGGAGCAGAUGACCACCAGAGGAAGUAAAAAGGAAAAAUGGGAGUGUAGCUGGCAAGUUACAUCCUUGCUUUUUUUUUGUAUGUAUCGAUGAUGUAUUGUGUCAAGUCUUAACGUGUCUGAUACCAAGUUUUUUAUUAUACAAUAUAUUGGUCACAACUUGUCAACUUGCACAUGAGCAGUGUGUAUUUUUUUAUUACAUUUUAUACAUUUUUACUCUGAAUU